rnacentral:rRNA from 1 species
AGGUCUCUGCAAAGCCGAAAGGCGAAGUAUAGGGGCUGACGCCUGCCCAGUGCCGGAAGGUUAAGGGGACGGGUUAGCGCAAGCGAAGCUCUGAACCGAAGCCCCGGUGAACGGCGGCCGUAACUAUAACGGUCCUAAGGUAGCGAAAUUCCUUGUCAGGUAAGUUCUGACCCGCACGAAAGGUGUAAUGAUUUGGGCACUGUCUCGGCAGCAGACUCGGUGAAAUCUUAGUACCUGUGAAGAUGCAGGUUACCCGCAACUAGACGGAAAGACCCCAUGGAGCUUUACUGUAGUCUGCUAUUGAGUUUCGGUUAAGUAUGCACAGGAUAGGUGGGAGGCAUUGAGACUGGCACUUCGGUGUCAGAGGAGCCACUGUUGGGAUACCACUCUUACUUAACUGAAAUUCUAACUUAUGGCCAUAAUCUGGUCAGAGGACCGUGGCAGAUGGGCAGUUUGACUGGGGCGGUCGCCUCCCAAAAAGUAACGGAGGCGCGCAAAGGGACUCUCAGAAUGGUUGGAAAUCAUUCAUCGAGCGUAAACGCAGAAGAGUGCUUGACUGCGAGACAUACAAGUCGAGCAGGGACGAAAGUCGGCGUUAGUGAUCCGGCGGUGCAGUAUGGAAUGGCCGUCGCUUAACGGAUAAAAGCUACCCUGGGGAUAACAGGCUGAUCUCGCCCAAGAGUUCACAUCGACGGCGAGGUUUGGCACCUCGAUGUCGGCUCAUCGCAUCCUGGAGGUGAAUUCGCUUCCAAGGGUUGGGCUGUCCGCCCAUUAAAGCGGUACGCGAGCUGGGUUCAGAACGUCGUGAGACAGUUCGGUCCCUAUCCUCUGUGGGCGUAGGAAAAUUGAGGGAGGCUGCCCCUAGUACGAGAGGACCAGGGUGGACGGACCUCCGGUGAACGGGUUGUUAACCUAAUAGCACUGCCCGGUAGCUGAGUCCGGUUUGGAUAACCGCUGAAGGCAUCUAAGCGGGAAGCCAAUCCCAAGAUGAGUUUUCCUUUCGGUAAGACCCCUCGUAGACUACGAGGUGAUAGGCAGCAGAUGUAAGGCGUGUGAGCGCUUCAGUCGAGCUGUACUAAUCGGUCGAGCUCUUCUUAUUUU